rnacentral:rRNA from 1 species
GACGAACGCUGGCGGCGUGCUUAACACAUGCAAGUCGAACGGAAAGGCCCUGCUUUUGUGGGGUGCUCGAGUGGCGAACGGGUGAGUAACACGUGAGUAACCUGCCCUUGACUUUGGGAUAACUUCAGGAAACUGGGGCUAAUACCGGAUAGGAGCUCCUGCUGCAUGGUGGGGGUUGGAAAGUCUCGGCGGUUGGGGAUGGACUCGCGGCUUAUCAGCUUGUUGGUGGGGUAGUGGCUUACCAAGGCUUUGACGGGUAGCCGGCCUGAGAGGGUGACCGGCCACAUUGGGACUGAGAUACGGCCCAGACUCCUACGGGAGGCAGCAGUGGGGAAUAUUGCACAAUGAGCGGGAGCCUGAUGCAGCAACGCCGCGUGCGGGAUGACGGCCUUCGGGUUGUAAACCGCUUUCGCCUGUGACGAAGCGUGAGUGACGGUAAUGGGUAAAGAAGCACCGGCUAACUACGUG